GCAGUCGAGCGGGGGAGGUAGCUUGCUACCGGACCUAGCGGCGGACGGGUGAGUAAUGCUUAGGAAUCUGCCUAUUAGUGGGGGACAACAUCUCGAAAGGGAUGCUAAUACCGCAUACGUCCUACGGGAGAAAGCAGGGGAUCUUCGGACCUUGCGCUAAUAGAUGAGCCUAAGUCGGAUUAGCUAGUUGGUGGGGUAAAGGCCUACCAAGGCGACGAUCUGUAGCGGGUCUGAGAGGAUGAUCCGCCACACUGGGACUGAGACACGGCCCAGACUCCUACGGGAGGCAGCAGUGGGGAAUAUUGGACAAUGGGGGGAACCCUGAUCCAGCCAUGCCGCGUGUGUGAAGAAGGCCUUAUGGUUGUAAAGCACUUUAAGCGAGGAGGAGGCUACUUUAGUUAAUACCUAGAGAUAGUGGACGUUACUCGCAGAAUAAGCACCGGCUAACUCUGUGCCAGCAGCCGCGGUAAUACAGAGGGUGCGAGCGUUAAUCGGAUUUACUGGGCGUAAAGCGUGCGUAGGCGGCUUAUUAAGUCGGAUGUGAAAUCCCCGAGCUUAACUUGGGAAUUGCAUUCGAUACUGGUGAGCUAGAGUAU
rnacentral:rRNA from 1 species